rnacentral:lncRNA from 1 species
CUCUGCACAUAUGCACGGGGUAUUGGGAUGGCAGUACCCCAGCAGCAAAUCCAUACAGCAAGACCACAUCUAGCCAGCGAGCUAAGCCCAGGAGGUGAGCCCCAUGGUUGACUGCCACCAAGAAUAAUUUAAUUACUCAAUUAAACCAGUUGCAAACUGCUGGACUUUCGGGGUCUAUGCAAAGAAGUCAAGGUGGUUUGCAAGGCUACGUAGGGGCAGAUGGAGAAACGUCGUUCUUGGCUUCCUCCGGCUGGGCCUGAGCGCCUUCUCGGUUUCAAUACAUGGCAGGCGACAGGAGAUGGAUGAGAGAUAUCUUAUCCAGGGCUGGCUGCGGAUGGAGGAAGAGGGGGGAAAUGCACAAUAUGGUUGGGGUGGUGUUUUCCCAAAGGUGCUUUGAAAGGGUGCUGGUUGCUGCCAAGUUUUUCCUUUUGUCUCCAAGUUCUUUCUGUUCCUCCGUAGCCUGCAGGCUUCAGGCGCCCUGCCGCUCGCUCUCCCUUUCUGGCUUCUGAAGGGCCCCAAGAAUGGGUUAUUAUACUGUGCCGAAAAAGGGGAGGCGUACCGCGCAGGGCCCUUGCGAGCCUCUCUUCUUCAUCUGUCUGGGGGAGAAAGAAAAGAAGAAUUCACCAAGCCCUAGAGCGUGACUCACUCGCUGCACAAGCAUGAAUUAACCAGGAAUGUUCGCGAAUUAAUCCUGAAUAAUUCAUGAACCUGAAUUAAUCAUGCAUUUUCAUGAAUUAUUCAUGAAUAACUCAUGGAAAUGCAAGGUUUAUUCAUGCUCCAAAAAACCCAAGCCUUUUUCCUCCUCUUUUCUGUUCUCUCUUCGGGUAAGAAACCGACUGACACGAGGUUUUUUCGGAGGGGGAGGAAAAAAAAACAACCCAAAAAGAAGAAAGAAAAAGAGAGCAGAAAGGUGUAUUUGUUUUGCAGUUGGGGGCUGCCUGGGGGUUUGCUCCUCACCCAGACAAAGGAAACCUGGCGAGGAAUUGUGGUGAGGGGAUGCACAGGAGGCAAAACAACUGUGCGGCUACCUUCCCUUCUGCAGCAGACAGCUGAGAGCUGGAUAGACAGGAGACAUUUUGCAAGACUCUACCGUGCUAACCAGGUGGGGCUGGCCCCCAUGGCUGCAAGGCUCUACGUCCUGAUCAGCUGGCCGGACGGCAGCCGCGUGAUCAACAUCGAGAACAUCAAGGAGCCCCGGAAGCCGUUCCACCUCUACGCCGUUGGGGAGCAGGUGCUGGCCCGCUGCCCUGGCUUCAGUGGUUUGUACUGGGGGGUCGUGGAAGGCAUCAGUGAGCAGAAGGAUAUUUUAGAGAAGAGGCUGCAGGAAGAUAGACAGCUCCUGGAGAAGUUAAAGGAAGAGCCCACCGUGCACCAUGUGCUGUCUCCUUCCCUUAAGAAAUCGAGGAAGACUUUUCCCAAGUGGACCCCAGGAAGCCCCUUGAGGAAGUACGCUGGCAACAGGGCCUUCCACGCCAGGCCGUCACUCGGGGCCGAUGAUGCGGGCGUCCGGCACAAGGAGGCAGCCUCCUCGCUCAUGAAGGAGAGACCCAGCCUUGGCAGCAACCCCGGGCCCCACUGCGCAGUGUCGGUGCCUCGCCAUGGUUCAAGUGCCUUCAGCCCGGCGUCUCCAUUUGUCAGCCUGGCUGAGCCUGGGACAUCCCAAAAUGAAGAAGCAAGGCCCGUCACAGCGACCAGAAAUUAUCUCACCCUGGCAGUGAAGAGGAAGUCAGAUGGUAUUCUAGCUCAAUGCCAGCAACGGCUCUACGCAAACAGCUGUGAUGAACCAAAGAUGGAAGCAUCUCAGGAGACGGAGGAUUUUGAGGUCGUUCAGCAAAAUGUUGGCUCCGGUGCAAUGGAAAGGGUACAGAAGAUUGAGCAACUGGAGAGGAUCGUCUUGGACCUGCAGCAAGAGGUCCUGUCCCUGAAACGGAAAGUGCAGCGGCUGGAAUCGCUCUCCUUCCAGGAAGAGCCCCACCGGCAGCCCUGCGAGGUGGUGGAGCUGUUUAACGGCUACACGAAGGAGCAGCUCAAAGAAGCCAUCCGCUUCGACCAGAAAAUCAGCACCGCCUGCAAAACCCUGCUCUACAAGCUCUUCACGUCCGACUACAUCCAGAGCCACUCCAUCACUGGGCGGAGAGGCAACACCUUUCGCGAGGCCAAGCCCAUGAUGGAUGAGCGAUGCAUCAAAAUCAUUCGGGUUCUGCUCAAGCAAAAGUUUGGGGAUCACCUGAGCGACACGGUCAUCACGGAGAAAAUCCAGAACGUGCAAAAAGCCCUGCGGCAGAAAUUUAAGACCGAGUGUCUCUGAUGCACGUGGGAUUUGAUGCCUCUGUUUCCAAGAAGGGUUGCUGCUUGGAACGCAACGUGCGGAGGAGCCUUUUCGAGAAAUGCGGGGCUCGAAUUUGUUGUUUUGUUGCUUUGGCCCCAGGAGGACUGGUGAAAAUGAAGUGAAAUGCUUGCUAGACACAGCACAAAAUAUUCAUGGCCAGGCCCCUGUUGGCAGACACACAGCAGGAAGUGUCAUUCGGCUCCGUGGAAUUUUCCAAGUCUGGCCGGGCUCUCGAGUCUUCCCCUCCUUGCUCCUCUUGCCAAUCUGUUUUCAGAACUGUUGUUCCCUUUAUGAAGGUCCUGACCAGGAGGCCCCUCCAGAUCGUCUCUGAAGACCUCCGUUCUCAUCAACGCGGCUGCAGAUCUCAUUAGAAACAGACCUUAGGUAUUUAACCAAGCAGACCCCAGCUCUAAGGGCAGGGAAAGGGAAGACCAGGGGUGUGAAAAUGUCCCUUGUGUGCCCAGUCUGGCUCUAGGCUCUGAAUGCCAACACAUGCCACCUAGUAGCUAUUGAGCACAAUGCCCAGUGCCACUCUGAAGGGACACGAAUUACACGUAAACCGGUACAAGGGAUCGGAAACUGGUUCAAAUCUGCAGCACAACUGAAGUUCAGUGCACAUAAACUGCUUUCAAAACUUAUUUAAGAGAAACCUGGAUGGAUGUAGUAGCAGACUGAACUGAUUUAGGUUGAAUCGGUUUACUGAACUUCUGUCCCACAUCCCCUCCAGAUUCAAGUUAAAACACAAUCCCACAGUAUCCCAGGAUGCUAUGCACCUCCCCUGCGACCCCCUCUCCUCCCCUCUCAGGGUGGGCAGGCUAGCCUUGGCUCGGGGAAUGCACUCUAGCGCCCCCCCCGGCUUCUGGCCUGGGCCUCUGCAGGCAUGCGGCUGCAUUUCCAGAAUCAAAAGUGAACGUCUGUUCACUUGCUUAUCAGUUCAAUCUGCGCAGCUUAGACUAACCUGUGAAAACUGAAUCAAUUCAGCCCUGGUCUGUACUUAGCCCAAGUCUCUAAUGUACUCAUGCGAGCUGUCCUCAGUACAUACAGCCCACGGUGUAAGAGCUGGUGGGCAGGGGACAUUCACGGUGGCAGUCCCUGCCACCUUCUCAUGCCAUACAGAUGUGCCCUAAGACGUCUGGGGGUCACCCAUUGCUGCUACCUUUUAUUCUGGCAGCUAAUAUUUCAGAUCCAGCUCAUAGAGCGCCAUAACCUACUUGCAGACCUACAGGCACCAGCUUUAACCUUUUUUGCUGUUCUGUAUUCCCUCCCUUCCUCUUUUAUUACUUAGGCCAGCAACAAGGAGAGGACCAAGCCACUGCUCACCGAAAAGGUCACUGUAGCUUUUCUAAUGCACCGGGUGGCCAGAUGCAUGUUCGACGUGGAUGCUUGCGAUGGGUCAGACCCGGGGGGAAAAACCUCUCGGGGAAAUAAAUAUAACUCAGAUGAAAGGAAUGACUUUGAC